CUACACGGGUAUCUAAUCCUGUUUGCUCCCCACGCUUUCGCACCUCAGCGUCAGUAUCGAGCCAGUGAGCCGCCUUCGCCACUGGUGUUCCUCCGAAUAUCUACGAAUUUCACCUCUACACUCGGAAUUCCACUCACCUCUCUCGAACUCAAGACUAGCAGUAUCAAAGGCAGUUCCAGGGUUGAGCCCCGGGAUUUCACCUCUGACUGACUAAUCCGCCUACGCGCGCUUUACGCCCAGUAAUUCCGAACAACGCUAGUCCCCUCCGUAUUACCGCGGCUGCUGGCAC
rnacentral:rRNA from 1 species